GGGCUGGUGGUCUAGCGGUUGCGCCUUUUUGCUGCGGCAAAAACCCGCGGGAAAAAAUACGCCUGCCGGCAGCGCCGCACAUGACGUCGCCUUCACAUGGCGAAUAUCGCCGGUUCGAACCACCCUUUUGCGCGCUCGCGCUCUUCGAGCGCUCGCCUGUAAACGCGCAAAAGCGUGCACGGAUCCGGCCCGGCCCACCA
rnacentral:tRNA from 1 species